UUGUCUCGACCCGCGAGAGUUUUUUUUUUUUUUUUUGGAAAACCAGACGGAGUAUUCGGAUAUAAAUUACCCGCCAUCAAUUAUGACAUCCAAACUGAAAUUUUCAAUUCUGGUGAUUAAUAUGCAAGCCAGAUCAAGCAACUGUGCAAGCCCAUUUCGCGGAUGAACACCGCAAGUAGCAGCCCGAGGGCAUCAUGAUCAUCUCCGUCGUCGUUGCCAUCGUCAAAGAAAAUGGCGAUGCCUAGGAUCGGGGCUCGGUGGAACCAUUCAAGAGUGAAAGCCGCACUCAUCUGGGUUGUCUGCUUUGUCCCGUUUCACUUUCUUUUUCGCACGGCUUCGCACAAUUCUUCACAGAGUCCCGCUCCAAAUCAGUCUUCCGGUCGUUCAUCAGGGAUGCUGCAUGGCCAUUGUUUGGACCAUGUUAUGAUGAAGGCAAGCUUUUGUUUAGCAUUCAAUCGCUUCCCUUGCAGCUGCAGUUUGGAAAUGCGUGUCGCUCGAGUUUCUCCUUCGUUCUAGGAAUCCUAUAAUCUGGUUUCAGAGCUCCUGUUUGCAUCAUCUUAGCAUGUUCCAGCCUCUGAGGAUGCAUCUUUGUUAGCACUCUGGUUUCAGAACUCCCGUUUGUAUCAUUUUAGCAUUUCCAGCCUCCGAAGACGAGGUAAUCUACGGUUCACGGGAUUUAAUUCUUGACAUUGAUUCUGCUUGGACUCGGUGCUGAUUUUUGCUAAACAGAUCGAAGUUGCAGAUAUUGGAUGCCCUUUGAAUCUUGGAUAGGGUGGUUUCGACUUCAGCUCAUGUGCUUCUUGGUUGCUGGCAGGUAACUUUGAAGUUUCAAUGUUUCGAGGUCUCUCCUCUCUGUCUCCCGCACGACUAAUCGCUAUUGGUGGCUAACUAUUUCUCAAAAUCUUUGAAAACUAUUAAUGGGUUACUGAAGAACCCUACUGAUGGUAUGAUGAUGCUGCUUAACAUAUGUUCAGGUCAUCUGAGGGACAGAUCCUAUCUCCAUUCGUGCAAAUAGAGACAAUUCUCGCCCUGUUCAACCUGCGAAGAAGGUACUAGGUGCAGCUCUUCCAUGUGGGUUAACAUCGGGUUGCGCUUCGUUGCUCGGUAUGCUUGUACAAUUGGGGAGUUGGUGGGACCUAUCAGAACGUUCGAUUGUCCACCAGGUUUUAAUGAUGGAAGUGACGUAUUGGUGCCUGGAGAUUGAGGAGAGCGGUCGCUUUGGUAUCGUAAAGGCAAGCUUUUGACCAUACGUAAGUAUGUAUAUCGAGAUGCUAGGUUAAUUCUAACUACGUUGGAUUCCCAAGACGGACAUUUUGAGUAGGGUUGUCAAAUGGGAGGAUCGGAUUUGUGUUGAGUCGAAAAUAAUCUGACUCAAAUUGGCUCAUUUAGCCCAUAUUGAUCAAUUUUUAUACAAUACAAUUUUGAUGACUCGUACUUGAAGUAACCUCGACUUAAUUUAUACCUGAUUCAUAUUACUAAAACACAUUCAUAAUUAACCCUCACUAAUAUAUACCCACCCAAUUAACCCACUUUAAGCUCUUCAUCUUAAUGUGUUAAUUAGAUAAAAUUUUAUAUCAAAUUAAAAAAUUAAAAUAACAAAAUGAAGAUGUAAGUAAAUAAACAAAAAUGUAAAAAAACAAAAAACCAAAAAAAUCAAAGAUGCCGAAGCCACCCUCGAAGAGCUUGAACGGGAAGACGAUCCGCUGCAGAUGCACAGUACCAGAGAUGCCCUCGAAGAUGCCAGAGCUGCUGGCACGACGAGGAAGGUAUCUUAGUAGGUGAGGCAGGGGCCUUGGACGGAGAUGUGCCCUUAGCCGCCGAAGUAUAAGCUGCAGAUGGCCUCGUAGUCGUAGCGGUCGUCGUCCUUUUCAAGGAGGUGCUGGAUGAGGACACAGACACCAAAGGUGACACCGAGGCGGCGCUGGAGAUCACCGGAGUAGAGCUUGUCGGUGAAGGGGAUGAGGUCGCCGAGGGAGUCGACAUUUUUCUGGCUCAACCACUGCUUCGGUUGUUGUCAAAGUGCUAAGCGACGGAUCGGCCGCCAUCUUCUGGUGGUUUGAUAAUGUAGAGUGUGGGUCGACCACAGCACCGCCGCCCUUGGCUCCAGAAGCGAAGACCUUUGUCUCAGGGUCCCCGAUGGGGAGGACAAGGUUGAUCACGCAGACGAUCGGGGCGAAUGUGGGCACGGUAGAAAGGGUGGCGUUACGGUUUUGCGGCGGUAAAUACGGUUGUGACGAGCGAGUGGAGUGAGGAGAGGGGGGGACGAUCGGGAGAGACGAAAGAGGGAGACAAGAGAAACCUGUUUUGCUGGGCUAAAUGGGUCAAAUAUGGAUCAUAAGCAAACCCAUCAUGAUAUGUUUUUUAGGCUUUCAUUUUCUUCUUAACCCAAUUAAGCCCAUUUAUAAAAAAAAAAAACGAGUUACCCAUAUAGUAUUGGGCCUCCUAAAUUGAGAUCCAUUUUGCCAGCCCUAGUUUGAGACGUGACGUCAUGAGAAUCCAACAUAGUGAGGGUCAACCUAGCACCAUUAUGAGCAUACUAUUAUUUGAUCAAAAACUUUUUUGUACAAUAUCCAAGCUAUCACUCUACUCAAUGGUCUAUAACCAUUGGCACCA